AAUUUCUCCUUCCUCACGAGCGCUUCAUAUCAGUUAGGGGUUGUAUUUCCUCUUCCCGUUCGCUGUUACUUUCGGCAUUCGCAAGAGGGUUGAAGCUGCUGCCGCCAUAUCUGCUACUUCUUAUUGCAGGCUGGCGAUCUCAAGGGCAACGAUGGCCGUCGAGUAAGAAAUUGCAUGUUGAGCCGAAAGGUUUCUUUGAGGAAAAGCUUAUCUGAUGUAUCUUUUCUAAAUCCAUGGGUAUUAAACUACUCAAUCAGGUUCGCUCAUAUGGAAUGGGCCCGACAUCAUCCUCAUCACCUUUUCAACGGUUGUCCAGGGUUAGGGCAGCUUGGCUGGCGUUACUAGAAGAGAAUGAGCAGUUAAGGGAAGAAUUUGAAUUUAUCUUGAAUGAGAUUGAACAGAUCAGACGGGAGAUGGAUGACCUUAGGAGGAGGCUUUUUAUAAACAAUGCAAAUUGAAGCCAGUUCAAAAAAUAUUGUGACAAGGUUUCUAUAUAAACACUAGUGUGGUGAAUUGUGCGAGUCUAUCAAGUCGAUAAGGCCGUGAGCUAUUAAUCACAAAGCAUUUAGCAUUGUCAUCAAUCCAAAAUACUUUAUCAUAAUCAUCAAGAGAAUUUGUAUCAGCUUUAAUUUAGAUAACCCGGAAUAAAUGGGAGAGUUUUUGGGACAGAGGGACCGAGUCUUUGAAGAGCACAAUAGCUUGUCGAUGAAGAUCCAAAGCCAAUAAGAUCACUAUUUUUUCUUUCUUCUGUAUUAACAUUGCCUCAUUAUUCUAACAAAAAAUUGAAUCAUGUGAUUCCAUUUUUGCCAUCAUUAUGAUUUUUCUUUUUCUAUUUUACUUCGGUUUGCUGUUUGAUUGAUCUAAUUUACUUUAGUGAUAUUGUGUCACUA